rnacentral:rRNA from 1 species
CGAUGAACCACUUCGGUGGGGAUUAGUGGCGAACGGGUGAGUAACACGUGGGCAAUCUGCCCUGCACUCUGGGACAAGCCCUGGAAACGGGGUCUAAUACCGGAUACUGACCGCCUUGGGCAUCCAAGGCGUUCGAAAGCUCCGGCGGUGCAGGAUGAGCCCGCGGCCUAUCAGCUUGUUGGUGAGGUAAUGGCUCACCAAGGCGACGACGGGUAGCCGGCCUGAGAGGGCGACCGGCCACACUGGGACUGAGACACGGCCCAGACUCCUACGGGAGGCAGCAGUGGGGAAUAUUGCACAAUGGGCGAAAGCCUGAUGCAGCGACGCCGCGUGAGGGAUGACGGCCUUCGGGUUGUAAACCUCUUUCAGCAGGGAAGAAGCGAAAGUGACGGUACCUGCAGAAGAAGCGCCGGCUAACUACGUGCCAGCAGCCGCGGUAAUACGUAGGGCGCGAGCGUUGUCCGGAAUUAUUGGGCGUAAAGAGCUCGUAGGCGGCUUGUCACGUCGGUUGUGAAAGCCCGGGGCUUAACCCCGGGUCUGCAGUCGAUACGGGCAGGCUAGAGUUCGGUAGGGGAGAUCGGAAUUCCUGGUGUAGCGGUGAAAUGCGCAGAUAUCAGGAGGAACACCGGUGGCGAAGGCGGAUCUCUGGGCCGAUACUGACGCU